rnacentral:rRNA from 1 species
AUUGAACGCUGGCGGCGUGCUUAACUCAUGCAAGUCGAUCGGUAACAGGUGUAGCAAUACAUGCUGACGAGAGGCGGACGGGUGAGGAAUAUUUGGGAAUCUGCCCAUCAGCGGGGGACAACCCGGGGAAACUCGGGCUAAUACCGCAUACGCUCUACGGAGGAAAACCGGGGACCGCAAGGCCUGGCACUGAUGGAUGAGCCCAAAUCGGAUUAGCUAGUUGGCGGGGUAACGGCCCACCAAGGCGACGAUCCGUAGCUGGUCUGAGAGGACGAUCAGCCUCACCGGAACUGAGACACGGUCCGGACUCCUACGGGAGGCAGCAGUGGGGAAUAUUGGACAAUGGGGGAAACCCUGAUCCAGCGACGCCGCGUGGGUGAAGAAGGCCUGCGGGUUGUAAAGCCCUUUCGGUAGGGAAGAAAUCUCUUGUCUUAACACGGCAAGGGUUUGACUUAACCUACAUAAGAAGCACCGGCUAACUCUGUGCCAGCCGCCGCAGUAAAAC